CCUACGGGUGGCUGCAGUGGGGAAUAUUGGACAAUGGGCGAAAGCCUGAUCCAGCCAUGCCGCGUUUGUGAAGAAGGCCUUCGGGUUGUAAAGCACUUUCAGUGGGGAAGAAAGCCUUGGGGCUAAUACCCUCGAGGAAGGACAUCACCCACAGAAGAAGCACCGGCUAACUCCGUGCCAGCAGCCGCGGUAAUACGGAGGGUGCGAGCGUUAAUCGGAAUUACUGGGCGUAAAGCGCGCGUAGGCGGUCUGAUAAGCCGGUUGUGAAAGCCCCGGGCUCAACCUGGGAACGGCAUCCGGAACUGUCAGGCUAGAGUGCAGGAGAGGAAGGUAGAAUUCCCGGUGUAGCGGUGAAAUGCGUAGAGAUCGGGAGGAAUACCAGUGGCGAAGGCGGCCUUCUGGACUGACACUGACGCUGAGGUGCGAAAGCGUGGGUAGCAAACAGGAUUAGAUACCCCUGUAGUC
rnacentral:rRNA from 1 species